GUGAAAGUUGGGCAAGCAGGUUAACCCUUCUCUUCCUGCUCUCCUGGGACAGACAGCAGAGGCAGGCACAAAGCCUAAACUGUUAUCCAGCAUUUUCAAUUAAUGUAUUUAAAAUAUGAUGGAAAAGAAACAGUUUCCCCCGUCUACUCAGCCCUUAACCAUAUGAAUAACUUUACUCAGGUUCAUGUUGUAUUAAGCCAAGCUUCCAUGACCUGCAAAAUAUUUUGAGGGGAUCUAAAUGGAUUAGCACUGACACUGACCAGUCUAACACGCUUAAAUGCUUUGGGACUUUUAACAUAGAAGAGAUUGUGAAAGUAAUCAAGCUAAAUACUCGAGGGACACUAGAAUAGCCAUGAAUUGUUUGACUUAUUGAAUGUCUGGCUCUGUAGUAUUAAGUGUGUGUUAGGUUUUUUGGUCCAAAAUUCUAAUAAAGCAAUCCCUCCCUAACGUUUCCUCUUUGGAUUUGUAGGAAAGUCUCCCGAGAAUUCUUUGACUGUCAUGCCAAUAGCUAUGUUUUACCUGGAAAACAUGCUUAGAACUUUUAGUUAAAUGUGGCUUUCUGAGAUCCACAGUAGUUAUGAUGGAAAACGGUGUCUUUAAAUUCUAUUGUGGAUAAAUACCACAGUCAGCCUCAAUAUUCUUCUUGGGUCUGAUAGAAAACAUUGCUGAACAAUGUUGAAGCAGGGUACUUUUAUUUCUCUGUUCUAUGGCAUUAUGACUUCCUCUCCAUCUAUCUUUGCUCAAUCUCACAAUUCCUCGAGCCCUACUAUCUACCUACCCUACAUUUCGGCCUCACGAACAGCUUUUACUGCUUUCACAAUUCAUCUGUUGUUGUUUUUAAGGAGGUUGAAACAGGCACUUAACCGUCCUUGUGAUUUAGUCUUUGCAGCUAGAAAACACGCUUGAAAGCAGCACAGCUGGUCAUGAAGAACUGCUGGAGAGUAGCAGCUGUGCUUUGAAGGGGGCACUGAAAAUGAUUACCUUCCUUCCCCAUAGCACUUCCCUGGGUGCCUGUAACUUUUACUUUCUUCUACUAAAUUGAGAAUGUUCUUUCUAACAGUCUCAUUACUGAAAAUUGCCCAGCCACCUGGAAAGUGCUGCUGAACACUCUGGCUAGUUCUGCAGGCUCAUGAUGGGAGAUUCACUUCCCAUCACUGUCACCUGAAUGAUAUCCUCUGCCAUCUUAGGCUAAAUGCUUGGAGUUAAAUGUGUGAAUAUGUCCCGUAUGUCUCCAACCAGUGUUACUGCAAUAGGGCAGCUCUGCAAUUCACCAUUCUCCAACUCCUGUAUAAGCAAAAAUGAAGCUCUCCGGUUUGUUGCUUAACCAACUCUUGAAAUGCAUAGACAUGGAUCUAGAGAACAAUUUAGCAGUGGCACCUCGAAACCUUAGGCCUUUUACAGCCUGGAGAGAAAAUUAAUAUACAGAGGUGGAAAUCUGACCUUUUCCACUUUGUAGAGUGUUGUAGUCCACACAGAGAAGUCAUCACAUAAUGGCCUGCCAUUAAGAGCCCUUGCAAUAAGACAAUAUUUGUUUAUUUAUUCCUUGUUAGUUACUGCUAUAGUUGAACACUGCACAGUAUAGGUGCCAAGCACUCUAGCCCUAAUACAAAAAAAGGUAUCUGAGCACAUGCUAAAUCCAACUGAAGUUAAUAGGGCUUAAGCCCGAGUUUAAAUGCUUUGCUGGCCCAAAACCAGAGUCCCCAUUAUGUUCUAACACUCCUUGACUCUUCCUCUCAAAUCAUGAAUGCCCAAAAAGGAGGAUUUAAAAAUAUUGUUCAUUCAGGAAGCUUAAGAAGCCAUUCCUCCAGUGUAACUAAUUUGUAUAGACACCAUUCCAUUUCGUUUUCUGAAAUAAAUAGUUUCAGGCAAUGAAAGCAAGGCUGGCUAUUCAAUAUGUGUGGGAAGGUGGUUAGUUUUGAGGCUUAAAUAAGUCUCUCAAAAUUCACAACAUCUGAGAAGUAUGUUAGCAAGCAAUUUGUCAACUGUCUGCUUUCAUCCCAUUAACUGCAUUUUCUCACAUCUUGUUUCCUUGUAUUUCUGCCAGUGUUAAUGGUAUUUUAGUAAAAAAUGAUAAAAUAUGUAAUAUAUCAUUUGUGCAAAGAAUGCAAAUACUGUACUAGUGAAAAUAAUAAUGCUUCUGAUGUUUGUAUAUGAAGUGUUUGUAUUAAUAUUCAUGUAUUUGCCCAAACCAAAUUCAUAUGAAGAUAUGAAUACAUACAUCGGUCUCUUGCCAAGCACUGGUAUUACUGAACUGGGCCCAGAAGACUCCUGGUCCCAACACCAUCUGCAUAUAAAAAGUUUGUGAAGUUUAGUACAUAUAGAACAUGCUCAGAUUCAAAAUCUGUAGAUCAAAAAUAAACCCUUCAAUGCACUGGGGCAAAGAUCCAACUUUAGCCCAACAGGGCCAUCCCUAAUUCAACCAUGUAGUUGUCUACAUGGGUUCAAGAAUCUUGAUUAAUGAAGCAAGAACCCUGCUCUGAAGACAGUUAAGGUAGCUAAGGAUUUUCCCUUUCAGAAUGGCUCAUUCAGAGAAGCUUAGCAAGAAGCAGGCUACCCUCAAAGGGAACAAAAAUGUCACACCACAUUAGAAGAACCUUGAAUUAUUUUAGCCUGAGUGGGGCCCCAUUUUUCUUCUAGCUCAGUUCCUGUAGG